rnacentral:rRNA from 1 species
CCUACGGGAGGCAGCAGUGGGGAAUAUUGGGCAAUGGAGGAAACUCUGACCCAGCGACGCCGCGUGCGGGAUGAAGGCCUUCGGGUUGUAAACCGUUUUCAGCAGGGAAGAAGCGAAAGUGACGGUACCUGCAGAAGAAGCACCGGCUAACUAUGUGCCAGCAGCCGCGGUAAUACAUAGGGUGCAAGCGUUGUCCGGAAUUAUUGGGCGUAAAGAGCUCGUAGGUGGUUCGUCACGUCGGAUGUGAAAAUCUGGGGCUUAACCCCAGACCUGCAUUCGAUACGGGCGAGCUUGAGUAUGGUAGGGGAGUCUGGAAUUCCUGGUGUAGCGGUGGAAUGCGCAGAUAUCAGGAGGAACACCAAUGGCGAAGGCAGGACUCUGGGCCAUUACUGACACUGAGGAGCGAAAGCGUGGGGAGCGAACAGGAUUAGAUACCCUGGUAGUCCACGCCGUAAACGGUGGGCACUAGUUGUGGGGACCUUCCUACGUCGUCUGCGCGCAGCUACGACAUAAGUAGCCCGCCCGUCGGGAGGUACGAGUCGCGAGAGUUAAACGUAACGUAAAGUAAGUUAGACGGUCGUUGAGACGUUGCCGACGGACGACGACGAGGGAGGAGG